GCUUGGGCCUCCCGCAGCUGCUGCUUCAAGAGAGAGAUUUCUGAAGUUUUCUGGCCCACCUAGGAGAAAGGGAGAAGCAUUAGGGAAGCUUCUGGCCCUUGUGGGCUGCCAGGCUCUGCAUGGACAGGAAGCUCUUCCCUGUACCUACCGUUGGUUUGAAGACUGAGGGGCGGAUGCGGCACUAGAUGGAGAAAGAAAGGGGAAAGAGGAUGUGAGGCUUCCCCUGCCCAAUCUCAGAGGUUCCCCACCCAGCUGCUUGGAGGGGACCCCCCCAGAAGUUGAACCUGGGCAAAAGGGUCUGCAGGAGAAGGAAGUAGAGAAACAGAAACAGUCCAAUCCAUGCCCCAAGGGAAGCAUAGGGAAAGGGCUAGGACCCUGGGUUCCACAGCUGGAGAGACACAAACAGGAAGGGCCUGGAGAGAGGAAGGAUGGAGCCGGACAAUGGGCAGUGACAUCCGGAGCAGGUCGAGGUCUCAAUUCAGGAGUCUCAGAGCUUGGAAGCAAGAGGAUUUUAACUUUCCCCAUUUGAGCAACGGGAUCAAUACAAUUUCCUGGCUCUGAGAGCUCUAGCUGGGUUCCUGUAGUGGACAGACUCUGACCCUGAAAGUCCAAAUACCUCCCUCACAGGCCAGAGUCACCAGACAAAAGCAGAGAGCCUCAGCUGUGAAAUCCUGGACUACCUUGAAGGAAGGGGAAAACAGCUUCUGGAAGGAAUAAAUGUUUAUGCAUACAUACAUACAUACAUGUUCAAUAUGAUACGUGUGCAUAUAUAUGGGCAUGUGUAACACCAGCCAGGAAUGCAUGGGUGUGUGUACACAUACACACGUGUGUGCAUGUAUGUGUAUAUGUACCUGCCCCUAUAUACGUGAACAUUACAUACUCCUAUACAUGCACGCACCAGGAAAUCUCUGCUCCUUCCGGCCUCCACUCCCCUUCUCGGCCAGCCAGAAGGACGGGGUGGCUCAGCAGGCAAGUCCAGUCCCCAGCAGGUAACCUAGCCAAGCGGCCAGCCCAAGAGGCAGGGGAGGAAACGUCCCCACCCAUGUCUGCGCCUGUCUAGGAGGCGCCUAGCCCGGGACAACCUCACAGACCUUCCCACACUGGAAGCCACGGCUCCAGGCAGAUUUCCGUCCCCGUGCCAGGCCACCUGUCCCGGCCCACCCAGUCUUACGUUCCUGCUUCCACCCAGGUGUCGGUGAAGGUGACCCCCCUGGAACUAGGGCUGGGUCGCCUAGUUCUCUGCGGGGUUCUUAGCAACUAUGCCUGGGUAGGGGGUGUCUUCCCUCCCCCUCAGGGCUGGGGACUGGGGAGGGAGGAGGGAGCAGGGACGGAGAAGCACAGGCGAGGUCGGACGUGGGGCUCCCCUCAAAGCUGCCUCACGGGGUGCAAACAGACUUGACCGAGUGCCAGGCAGAUGAGCGGGGCCACCCCGAUCACCAGCCCGCCUUCCUGGAGCAGCUGCUCUCUCUGAACGGGCCCGGGGCAGAACGGAGCUCUUCCCCGCCCCUCCCACCUUUCGCGGUCCCAAGGACCGAGCUAGGGCCGGAGCUGGGGAGGGGAGGCAGGGGCGCCGGCCUCUGAGUCCCGAGGCUGGCCGGCCAGACUGAGUCGGCUCCCGGUCCGAGCUCUGAGAAGCCAAGCACGGCCGGGGGCUGGGGGCUGGGACCCGGCAGCAAAGGAGAACCCCAACAGAGCCCUGAAGCCCAGAAUCCCAAACCGGCGUCUCCGAACCGGGCCCCGGAGAACCCUCAAUAAGCAAGAAUUCUGAAAGGGCACUCGGAGACUUCUUAAGUCUAGCCUUCCCCUUCCCCGCUAACCCCAUCUUACAGAGGGGGAAACUGAGCCCCGCAGAGAAGGGGCUACGGGCCCAAGGUCACACAGGGGGCUCCUCCUGAGGGGUCCCGGCGAGAUGCGCUGCUGCGCCCGGGUCACCCUCCCUCCCCUUGACCCCUGCCCCACGGUCCGGGAGCGCGCCCAGGUACGCUCACCAUGUUGGCGCCGGCUCUCGCUCCUCGCAGCCCGCCGGCGUCCCAGCGCCCCGAUCGCUCGGCAGCCUCCGCCCUCUCCGAGAUUCGAACCCGCUUUGCUCGGGCUCCCGGCUCGGGAAGGCACUGAAAGCCCGGCCACCGGCUCUGCCGCAGGGACGCAGAGAAAACGCGGUCAGAUCCAGGAACCGGAGCCAGAGUCGGCGAUUCAAGCAGUUCGCCCUGCACCCAGAGGCGGAGGGAAAACCCGGCCUGACUCAGUCCCAGAAUUCGAGCCCCGGCCCGGCCCCAGGAGAGGCGGCCAGCCGGCCAGCCCAGAAAAGCGAGAAUGGAGAAAUGGAAGUCCCGCAGCACGCCGCCCUUCUGGUCGGGAAAGUGUGGGCCACGGUGCCCCCGCCCCCCACGCUCCGGGCUGAGGCAGAUUCCUAGAAGCAUCUCCCUCACCCCUCCUCCCCGAGUGCUCCUGCCCCGUCCUGCUGCCCCCUCGGCGCGCCCUGGGCACACCCCUCCUUCUGAGCCGGCUGCGGGAGGUGGCGGCCACAGGGCCCGCGCUGGGGAGUGUGAAUCUCCCGGCGCUUCUCCGCCUACCUCUUUAUGCCUUCUUCUCGUCUCUUCCACCCAGGAGCACCGCGCACAAAACAAAGAUCAUUUUCUCUGAGAUUAUGAAAAGAGCCCCGCAGGCGAACACGCUCAAAAAAGAGCCGUCUCACACCCAUGCAUGAUAGGUGUGUGUGCACGUAUGCUUACACGUAUGGGUGCAUCUGGCGUCCGCUUUGCUGGAGCGGUCUCUGAGCCGGCCCUUGGAGCAUCCCGCACUGGUGGCUCACAGCGCCAAUGCCCCCCGAGGCAGAUUCGGGGCCCCCUUCUUGCAGAGCCUAAGGCUGUCUCGUCUAAGCCCUCUCCUGGUCAGCGCCGGUCAGAGAAGGAACCUGAACCCAAGUCUUUCUGACUCGGGGAUGGGCAGUUCAUCUAAUACUACGUUACAUUUUAAUAGCGUUUUAAGGAUCACAAUUGCUUUCUAACAUUGUGAGGUAGCUAGUGCCAAUAAUCUUCUCCCCGUUCUAGAAAUGGGAAAAAAAAAACAAAACCCAACAACAACAGCUGGUGUUGUAUUUUACCUAAGCUAUAGUCACUCGACAAAUAGAUGUCAGAAUGGUAACUCCAGACCCGGGUUCUCUGAGACGGCGAAUUCUAAGUCUAAAGCCAGUGCAUAUCUUUCCAAAUUUAUGCACAGUCAGGAAGCUAGAAGAGACAAUGGAUAGAGCUCUGGACCUCAAAUCUCAGAAAGACCUGAGUUCAAAAGUCACUUCAGAUUGUACUUACUGGAGAUGGAGUGUUUUACGUAUAAGCACUUCCAAGUGGGACAGGAUAGCUUCUCUAUAAAAUACUUGGAAGUAAACAAGGUGUAAGAAUGCAAUGUUGGGAAGGGGCCGGGUUAUAAACGCCAAAAGGGAUUUUAUAUUUGAUCUUGAAGGUAAUAGAUUGCUAUUGGGAAUUUUAUAGAGUCCUCAGACCUGCACAACCUCAGUUGUCCCUUUGACAACUGGGUGGAGAAUGGGAUGGAUCUGAGAGAGGCUUGAGAUGAUGAGACCUACCAGAUGACUAUUUCAGUAUUCCUGGUGAUGAGGAUCUGUUCAAGGGUGGUGAUAGGAGAGGAGGAAACCAGAGAUGCUGUGAAGAUAAAAAUGAAAGUAGGGGAUGAUCAGGGAAGAAAAAAAAGAAGA